ensembl:ncRNA asRNA:CR46137 antisense RNA:CR46137
AUCCCAUUUCUUGGCUGUAUCUUUGGCACUCGAUAUUACUCCAAAAGACUGGUUCCCGUCACUUGUUUCGUGCUCCUCCAAUGUUGGGCUAAGGAGCCGGUUCUGGUGCUGGUUCGAUCCCAGAAUAUUCUGCAGCGCCUGCUCCUGCUGAUUCGGAUGAUUAACGGGAACAGGGGCUCCAAGGAGGGGAUCAAACUUCAACAGCAGCGAACUGCGGUCAAUAGGCACACUAUUGCUGCCUUUCGUGUACAAAUAAUCAAAAUCUGAUGAAUUUAGUAUUACUGUGGUAGGUGUUCGGUUUUUGUUGGUGUUUAUGGUAAUGUUUAGAUGAGUACAUGCGCGUGCAUUUGGUGUAUGGGUUUGAUGAGAAAAGAAGAAAAAAUAUAAAACAUUUAGUAGUUAGUCACUU